AGUGAACGCUGACGGUAGGCCUAACACAUGCAAGUCGAACGGCAGCACAGUAAGAGCUUGCUCUUACGGGUGGCGAGUGGCGGACGGGUGAGGAAUACAUCGGAAUCUACUUUUUCGUGGGGGAUAACGUAGGGAAACUUACGCUAAUACCGCAUACGACCUACGGGUGAAAGCAGGGGAUCUUCGGACCUUGCGCGAUUGAAUGAGCCGAUGUCGGAUUAGCUAGUUGGCGGGGUAAAGGCCCACCAAGGCGACGAUCCGUAGCUGGUCUGAGAGGAUGAUCAGCCACACUGGAACUGGGACACGGUCCAGACUCCUACGGGAGGCAGCAGUGGGGAAUAUUGGACAAUGGGCGCAAGCCUGAUCCAGCCAUACCGCGUGGGUGAAGAAGGCCUUCGGGUUGUAAAGCCCUUUUGUUGGGAAAGAAAAGCAGCAGGUUAAUACCCCGCUGUUCUGACGGUACCCAAAGAAUAAGCACCGGCUAACUUCGUG
rnacentral:rRNA from 1 species